AUGGCCAUAUCACAUUGAAUCACCAGUUCCCGUACAAUCACCAGUUAAGCAAUGUCAAGCCUGGUCAGUACUUAGAUGGGUGACUUCUUGGGAAUACAAUGUGCUGUAA